CGCACUGGAAACACAGUCUUUCAGGAUGUCUGAAAGGGGCAAGUCUGUUUGUGUGGGGUAAGAAAUGCGGGGAGACAAACGGACAGUGGACAGAUUGCAGAGAGCUCUGUGUGCUGAGAGGAGGGUGCAGACCAGAUUUUUAAAUUGAGAAUGCAACAGUGAAGGAUUUCAAGCUUGGAGUGAGAGGGGAGACUACGAGCCUGCAGUGAUAAGGCAAAGCUGAAGAUUUCAGAGCCAAGGCCACACCCUACAGUUGCCAUGGAAUGGGGUGGCACAGUGGGCUUUGGAGGUAAAGUCUGCAGUUGAGAAGUUCAAGGGUAGUAAGUACUUAAUGCCAGGUCAAUCAUCCCUUUUAAGACACAGAUAUCAUCUGCAGCGUUUUCAGGAACAGUGAUAGAGAAGAAAAGCAGGCAGCUACUAGAUAUUCAAAUCUUCCACAAAUGUCAGGGAGAGAGUCAGGCAGUUGGUAGAAGAGACCUGUAAAGCUGGGUACCAUAAGCCUCAACACAGGUGUUUUUAUUUCAAGGCUGGGGAGCUGUGCUUUGGAAAAGCAAUGAGGAGGUAACAGGAAGUCUCUUCUUCUAAAUCCUGUGUUCAUGGAGGGGGGUGGGUUUUCUCCUCUUGAGAGGGAGUUACAUACAAGUUUAAGGGAAAAGAGUCUGAAGUUUCCACCUAAAUGAUUCUGAAAGAAUCAGGUUACGAAGCAAAUCUGUUCCGAUGUGAUGCCAACUAAGUACAUGAUCUGAUUGUUCCAGUUAUCCUGUGCCAAAAAGAAGCAAAAAAUGGGCUUUCCACGGAUUAUUGAACACGGUGUCAGUGUGCCUGAGAAACAAG
rnacentral:lncRNA from 1 species